UAGGGCCAAAAUGCAACUAAGCAGUCAUACGCUCAAGAUGCCCCUAAGAUCACCUUUAAGAAGCCCCUAGCACUCUCGAUUAAUUUACUCCCACGAAAGCCAGGGUACAAACUGGGAUUAGAUACCCCACUAUGCCUUGCCCUAAAUCUUGAUGCUUCCUACACCAAGCAUCCGCCCGAGAACUACGAGCACAAACGCUUAAAACUCUAAGGACUUGGCGGUGCCCCAAACCCACCUAGAGGAGCCUGUUCUAUAAUCGAUAACCCACGAUGCACCCGACCACCCCUCGCCAGAGCAGCCUACAUACCGCCGUCGCCAGCCCACCUUCAUUGAAAGUGCAACAGUGAGCAAAACAGCUAAACCCACUAACAAGACAGGUCAAGGUAUAGCCCAUGGGGUGGAAGAAAUGGGCUACAUUACCUAAAAUAGGUCAUCCACGAAAAAGGGUGUGAAAUCGCCCUUAGAAGGAGGAUUUAGCAGUAAACUGGGAUAAUAAAGCCCAUUUUAAGAUGGCCCUGGAGCACGUACAUACCGCCCGUCACCCUCC
rnacentral:rRNA from 1 species